GAUGAACGCUGGCGGCGUGCCUAAUACAUGCAAGUCGAGCGAACAGACGAGGAGCUUGCUCCUCUGACGUUAGCGGCGGACGGGUGAGUAACACGUGGAUAACCUACCUAUAAGACUGGGAUAACUUCGGGAAACCGGAGCUAAUACCGGAUAAUAUAUUGAACCGCAUGGUUCAAUAGUGAAAGACGGUUUUGCUGUCACUUAUAGAUGGAUCCGCGCCGCAUUAGCUAGUUGGUAAGGUAACGGCUUACCAAGGCAACGAUGCGUAGCCGACCUGAGAGGGUGAUCGGCCACACUGGAACUGAGACACGGUCCAGACUCCUACGGGAGGCAGCAGUAGGGAAUCUUCCGCAAUGGGCGAAAGCCUGACGGAGCAACGCCGCGUGAGUGAUGAAGGUCUUCGGAUCGUAAAACUCUGUUAUUAGGGAAGAACAAAUGUGUAAGUAACUAUGCACGUCUUGACGGUACCUAAUCAGAAAGCCCCGGCUAACUACGUG
rnacentral:rRNA from 1 species